GCCGGCAUGGCGCAAUGGUAGCGCGCUUCACUUCUAAUGAAGAGGUUUUGGGUUCGACCCCCAAUGUUGGCU